rnacentral:rRNA from 1 species
AGUGAACGCUGGCGGUAGGCCUAACACAUGCAAGUCGAACGGCAGCACAGUAAGAGCUUGCUCUUACGGGUGGCGAGUGGCGGACGGGUGAGGAAUACAUCGGAAUCUACUUUUUCGUGGGGGAUAACGUAGGGAAACUUACGCUAAUACCGCAUACGGCCUACGGGUGAAAGCAGGGGAUCUUCGGACCUUGCGCGAUUGAAUGAGCCGAUGUCGGAUUAGCUAGUUGGCGGGGUAAAGGCCCACCAAGGCGACGAUCCGUAGCUGGUCUGAGAGGAUGACAAGCAACACUGGAACUGAGACACGGUCCAGACUCCUACGGGAGGCAGCAGUGGGGAAUAUUGGACAAUGGGCGCAAGCCUGAUCCAGCCAUACCGCGUGGGUGAAGAAGGCCUUCGGGUUGUAAAGCCCUUUUGUUGGGAAAGAAAAGCAGCAGGUUAAUACCCCGCUGUUCUGACGGUACCCAAAGAAUAAGCACCGGCUAACUUCGUG